rnacentral:rRNA from 1 species
AAUGAACGUUGGCGGCGUGGAUUAGGCAUGCAAGUCGAGCGAGAAACUCACUUUUGAUCUUUCGAGUGAAAAAGUGAGCGGACAGCGGCGAAAGGGAGAGUAACGCGUAGAUCACGUACCCAAGGGCUCGGAAUAGCGGGGGAAACCGCCGGUAAUGCCGAAUAAUGUCUCCGGACCAAAGAUUUAUCACCCUUGGAGCGGUUUGCGUACUAUUAGUUUGUUGGUGGGGUAACGGCCUACCAAGGCAAAGAUGGUUAGCGGGUGUGAGAGCAUGGCCCGUCUCACUGGGACUGAGACACUGCCCAGACACCUACGGGUGGCUGCAGUCGAGAAUCUUCCGCAAUGGACGAAAGUCUGACGGAGCGACGCCGCGUGCGGGAUGAAGGCCUUCGGGUUGUAAACCGCUGUCAUAGGGGAGGAAAUUUUGACCGAUCCUAAGAGGAAGCACAGGCUAAGUUCGUG